rnacentral:rRNA from 1 species
UCCCUAUCCGCCGCGCGCGUUGGAGACUUGAGGAAGGCUGUCCCUAGUACGAGAGGACCGGGACGGACGAACCUCUGGUGUGCCAGUUGUCCCGCCAGGGGCACGGCUGGUUGGCUAUGUUCGGGAGGGAUAACCGCUGAAGGCAUCUAAGCGGGAAGCCUGUUCCAAGAUGAGGUCUCCCACCACCUUGAGUGGGUAAGGCUCCCAGGAGAUGACUGGGUUGAUAGGCCGGAGAUGGAAGCCCUGUGAGGGGUUGUGAGUUGACCGGUACUAAUAGGCCGAGGGCUUGCCAUG